rnacentral:tRNA from 2 species
GCGGGUAUUGUAUAAUGGUAUUACUUUAGCCUUCCAAGCUAAUGAUACGGGUUCGAUCCCCGUUACCCGCUCCA